rnacentral:rRNA from 1 species
AAAUAAAUUGUAAAAAGAGCAUAGAGUGGAUGCCUUGACUCGAGAUUCCGAUGAAGGACGUGGCUAGCUGCGAUAAGCUUCGGUGAGUUGCUAAGCAAACAGUGACCCGGAGAUUUCCGAAUAGGGAAACCUAAUCAGAGUUAUGUCUGAUUACCUCGCUUAUGCGAGGAGGACACUUGGUGAACUGAAACAUCUAAGUAACCAAGGGAAAGAAAUCAAAAGAGAUCCCCUUAGUAGUGGCGAGCGAAAAGGGAAUAGCCCAAACCUCACUUCGGUGAGGGGUUGUAGGACCCAAUAUGGAUUCAUUUUCUAUUAACCAAAUAUCCCUGGGAAGGGUUACCAAAGAGGGUAAAAGUCCCGUAGGUGAAAAUAGGUUUGAAUCCUAGGAUGUUCCUGAGUAGGGUCGGACACGUGUAAUCCGGCUUGAAUCUGGGAGGACCACCUUCCAAGGCUAAAUAUAUCUCGAGAUCGAUAGUGAACUAGUACCGUGAGGGAAAGGUGAAAAGCACCCCGGAUAGGGGGAUGAAAUAGAACCUGAAACUCUAUGCUUGAAAGGAAUCGGAGCCUCUUUAUGGGGUGACGGUGUACUUUUUGUAGAACGGGCCAACGAGUUAGCUGUAUGUGGCAAGGUUAACCCCAUAAUUGGGGGCAGCCGUAGCGAAAGCGAGUCUUCACCGGCGAAUUAGUCGCAUGCACUAGACCCGAAACCAGGUGAGCUAUCCAUGGGCAGGUUGAACCUCGAGUAAAAUCGAGGGGAGGACCGAACCCACCGUUGUUGCAAGAGCGGGGGAUGACCUGUGGAUAGAGGAGAAAUUCCAAUCGAACCUGGAUAUAGCUGGUUCUCUCCGAAAUAGCUUUAGGGCUAGCCUUGAUCUUAGUGUAGCGGGGGUAGAGCUCUGUUUAGGCUAGGGGGCGAAAUAAGUCUACCAAACCUAGAUAAACUUCGAAUACCGUUAUUAACAUGAUCAGGAGUCAGACAGUGACAGCAAAGUGCCAUUGUCAAAAGGGGAACAGCCCAGAUCGCCGUUUAAGGUCCCUAAUGAAGCUUAAGUGGAAAAGGAUGUAAGAUUGUUUACACAACCAGGAUGUUGGCUUAGAAGCAGCCAUUCAUUUAAAGAGUGCGUAAUAGCUCACUGGUCUAUGUGGUCUUGCGCCGAAAAUACAACGGGGCUAAAGCUUCAACCGAAGACGCGGGAUGUAUUUAUACAUCGGUAGGAGAGCGUUCCUAGCAGCAACGAAGGUCGAAUGUAAAUUCGGCUGGAGCGCUAGGAAGUGAAAAUGUUGGCAUAAGUAACGUAAGUCAGGUGAGAACCCUGGCCACCGAAAACCUAAGGUUUCCCAAGCCACGUCAGUCGUCUUGGGGUUAGUCGGUCCUAAGGUGUAGCCGAAAGGCGAAGCCGAUGGAUAACAGGUUAAUAUUCCUGUACAGUUUAUGUUUCGUCCAAGCAAAGCUGGAACGAGAUAUUUUUUCAUCAUCUUGAAGACUUCGGUCCGAUUGAUAUCGAAAUUUUAUUAAGUGAAGGUGGCGCUAGCUAAGGAGUGACGUUUUUGGACACUCGGAGCGGAUUAAUGAAUUUCCGUGCAAGUAUCAAGCUUAUGUCCCUAUAGGUAAAUCCGUAGGGAUUCGCGAGGUGCGAUGCAAAUGCUGACCCUGUGUCAGUAGAUUCCGAUCACUUCAGGAACCAAGAAAACCUUCGUAGCGAGAAAUAUAAGCUACCGUACCGUAAACCAACACUGGUAGGUGGGUUGAGUAUACUAAGGUGAAUGAGAUAACUAUCGUUAAGGAACUCGGCAAAACAGCAGGCGUAACUUCGGGAUAAGCCUUGCCUUAUUUUGUCACUGGUUUCGAUCAUUGAUGAGAUUAGGCCGCAGCGAAAGAGCCCAUGCAACUGUUUACCAAAAACACAGGUCUCUGCUAAACCGUAAGGUGAUGUAUAGGGACUGACGCCUGCCCAGUGCCAGAAGGUCACGAGGAAGGGUUAACGCUCUGAAUCUAAGCCCUGGUGAACGGCGGCCGUAACUAUAACGGUCCUAAGGUAGCGAAAUUCCUUGUCGGGUA